GCCCUUUGUCGCUAAGAUUCG
rnacentral:snRNA from 1 species